GACGAAGGAUGCAAGCGUUAUCCGGAUUCACUGGGUUUAAAGGGUGCGUAGGUGGGUUGGUAAGUCAGUGGUGAAAUCCCCGAGCUUAACUUGGGAACUGCCAUUGAUACUAUCAGUCUUGAAUACCGUGGAGGCUAGCGGAAUAUGUCAUGUAGCGGUGAAAUGCUUAGAUAUGACAUAGAACACCAAUUGCGAAGGCAGCUGGCUACACGAAUAUUGACACUGAGGCACGAAAGCGUGGGGAUCAAACAGG
rnacentral:rRNA from 1 species